AAUGACGGACAGACAGACGUACAGGGGUAGUUGAGGGGGCAUAAAAAAUAUAGCUUCAAUUACAUCUUUUAUUGCGUCAACUUGUAGACAGUAACCCUGAUGAUUUCUAUUUUUAAGAUUUUACCAUUUUUGCGUUCAUGUACUUACAACGUAUUUUUGUCUGAAUUAGUAAUUGUUUUAGAUAUGUUUAUUGAUAAUGAACAUACAUGUAUCACAUUUUUUACAACGUAUAAUUUCUUUUUAAAAUGUUCCAUAAAAGAGGGUCUGAUUGAGGUUUACGGAAUACAGAAUAAUGGGCAAAAAUUGCAGAAUAAAAUGCAAAAAAGAAAAAAAAGGAAAAAGUGUAUAAUGAGGUGCUAAAAUAUAAAGAAUAAAGAAUAUUGGUAAUACUAAAUAAAAAUUUAUGAUAAUUAUCCAGACUCUUAUGAUAAAAAGAAUUUAUUAACCAACUAUGUGCAUUAUUGCCAAAAUUGACUGUUUAUUAAAAAUUACAUAUUUUCUGUAAUGGCCCUGUUUUUCUGUAAUGGCCCUGUUUUUUUCUGUAAUGGCCCUGUUUUUCUGUAAUGGCCCUGAUUUUUCUGUAAUGGCCCUGUUUUUCUGUAAUGGCCCUGUUUUUUCUGUAAUGGCCCUGUUUUUCUGUAUAUAUAAGAGUAAAGCGGAUUAUGUCAAAUGUGAAGAGUCAAAAAUUAGUUUUAUGGUUCAAUAAAAUCAAAAUAAAUUAUUGCCAUUCAUUAUAAAUAAAUUUCUAUCAAAAAUAAGGCUCAAAGAAUGUUUUAUAUUAUUUAUAUAAACAAUAACAACGUACAACGUACACAGUCACAUGUUGGCGUAUGAAUACACAACGUCAGAGUGGGCGUGUCGCCAUCAAAAUUGACAACAUUGAAAAUAAAACUAAUAAUUUUAACCAAUCAGAAGACAGUUAAUACACCAAAUUUAUUUAUAUCUUGAUGUUUGUUGUGAGCUCAGGCUCUGUGUUAAAUGCCUGACUUUGACCUAUAAUUGUUUACUUUUUAUACAUUGUGACUUGGAUUGAGAGUUGUUAUAUACCAUAUCUUCUUCCUUAUAUUUUGUAUGCUACACUCCUUUCAAAUACAGUGUAUUUUGAAUGUUUCAAGGGACAUAAUUCAUAAUGAGGCCAAAUAAAAAUAUAUGUGUGGUUCUAAUAACAUACUUUUAAAAAGGAGGGUUGAAUGGUCUGCAAUUUUUUUUCAUUUAAAAAAAAUAAAAUAUUUUGGAUUGUCAAAAUCUGAAUUUUAUUCCGGUAUUAUACACACCACUACUGGAAGUUCACCAUUUUUACAUGUGUUGGGUUGUAAAAUAAACAGUCUUGUUAUGUGCAAGUUGAUUUUGUUGCAUUCUGUUACCAUAUGUUGACUUUUAGCCAUAGCAGAAAACUUCUGCUGCAAAUUCAAAUAACAGAAAUCAAUGAAUUUAAUUCAUUGUAAUUAUUUGAAUUCAAAUUCCUGAAGAUUUGAUCGUUUAAAAAAUGUUUUUCAGAAAUGAAAUAAAAAGUUUUAGGGUCGGAACAGAUUUAAACUAGGAUCGGUUGGGAAACUGGAACCACACAUAUUUUUAUUUGGCCUGAGUUCAGAUUUAGGGAAAGGGAAAAAGGCUAUAGAAUUCAUAACAUAAUGACUGCAUGUUUGUUUUUGUUUUUUUACAAAUUUACAUCUUUUCUAGCUUUGGAAUGGCAUAUAUGACAUGAAUAUUCAUAUUGUAAACUAUGAUUUAAUGGUCAGAUAAUUAAGUGACAGAAACUGUUCCUAAUAUCCUCAAAUGCAAGAAGCUAUGGGUCACUGUGAACUGUCUAAAUAUGAGAACCUAAUAGGUGGCAGGUUGAUGAAACUUACAUAAGUGAAGAGAUAAAUGAACCUGGUGCUCCGCAAGGUGCAGUUUUAUACAACCAAAGAAGUUGAACCUUGAACAGUUGGGGCAAGUAUGGACACAACAGUCAAGCUUGAAACAGCUCUCAAUUUGGAUUUCGAUAAAAAUUUUGACAUAAUAUGAGUUUCUGACCCUAAAUAAAUGUCAAAAUCUUACAAAUCUAUUGUGCAAUAUUGUGCAAAUAAAGAUUUCUUCUUCAAGCUUUUUUUCAAAAAUUUGGAAAAAAAACA
rnacentral:lncRNA from 1 species